AUCAGUACUACGGUCUGUUGCGAUUGUUAAAAAUUUGCAUUUUUUCUUAUUUUAUACCUGUUAAAUCAAAACUCCCGUACGGAUUGUCAACUUAAUAAACUUCAGAAAUAGCAACUAAUUUGCGACAGGUCAACAUUAACAAAAGAAAUGAAGAAACAAUCAAGUCUUGAUAUCACACACACGAUUUUAUGAUUAGAGGAUUUUCUAUAUUUA